UGCUCAUCCCAUAAGGAGCAUCCUUAAUGGUGAGAACAUGAACUCCAUCGGAAGCGACGACCUGUUGGAGCUCUCACUUCCCGAUGAGUCCUGGGUGAACCCGCGAGGUGCCAGAUAUUCAGGGGAAGAAGGAAACCCAUCACCCGUGUUGAGUGAGGCCGGAACAGAACCCUUGGACGCGUCGUGGAAACCACUGACUUCCACGCAGUUACCCACUGGCAGGGGAGCGAUGGUGAGACGGAAGAUCCAAAUGGGAGAUGACCCGAGUGGGUUGGAGAGGAGUCCCUGGAAACCAGGAGACUAGAGAAGAGGAUGGAUGCGAUGGAAAGGAUGUUAGGGUCAUUUUCUCAGCAAAUGGAUGUGUUUCGUCGAGAGUUGGCCACAUCCUGGAUGGCGACAGCCGAGCAGAGAGACCAACGGAGAGCCCAACCCCUGAGAGGAAGAAGAGGAGGAGGAAAUUAUGUUAGGACCAUAAUUUCUGGGCCUGUACUCUGGCGCCAGAAAUCAAGGACGCUGACAUCAAAGACUGAUAAGGCACCUGCGGCUCUCGGCCCUGAAGGAAAACGGCUGGCGUGUGAACGGGAAGAAUUGCGCGGGGUUUUCUCUGGGCAGGAAUUGUUACUUAGAAUGUGGGGGGAGUGUAUAUAAGGGGAUCUUUCUGGGCCGACCAGCAAUCUCGGCUUUAUGUGUGUCAAAGUAUCCUACAGUAAAGUUUUCAGUGACAA